rnacentral:rRNA from 1 species
GACGAAGGGGGCUAGCGUUGUUCGGAAUUACUGGGCGUAAAGCGUGCGCAGGCGGUUUGUUAAGUCCGUUGUGAAAGCCCCGAGCUCAACUUGGGAAUUGCAGUGGAUACUGGCAGGCUGGAGUACGGUAGAGGAAGGUGGAAUUCCCGGUGUAGCAGUGAAAUGCGUAGAUAUCGGGAGGAACACCAGUGGCGAAGGCGGCCUUCUGGACCAGUACUGACGCUCAUGCACGAAAGCGUGGGGAGCAAACAGG